ensembl:snRNA U6 U6 spliceosomal RNA
GUGUCACUUAGGCAGUACAUAUACUUAAACUGGAAUGAUACAGAGAUUAGCAUGGCCCCUGCGCAUGGAUGACACAUAAAUUCAUGAAGCAUUCCAUAUCUUU